rnacentral:rRNA from 1 species
AACGUAGGAGACAAACGUUAUCCGGAGUUACUGGGCGUAAAGGGCGUGUAGGUGGUUUCGUAAGUCUGGCGUGAAAUAUCUCGGCUUAACCGAGGCAGGUCGUCGGAUACUGCGGAACUAGAGGACGGUAGAGGCGUGUGGAAUUCCGGGUGUAGUGGUGAAAUGCGUAGAGAUCCGGAGGAACACCAGUGGCGAAAGCGGCUUCCUGGUCCAGCACCGACGUUCAGGCACGAAAGCGUGGGGAGCAAACAGG